CUGGUGAUGUCUGGUGGGAGGCAUCUACUUCUUCAGACUAGCAGGUAGGUGUGGGUGAGGGUCCAGGCUGUGGCCCUAUAGGCCCCAGUACUCUUGGCUAUCCCUCUGGGGGGCCCUGUACAACCUCCAAAGGCACAACACUCUCCCUAUCUUCAGCAGCCAGCUCUGAAACUCUGGUAUCCCUGCAGUCUCUAUGUGUCUGGAGUACUGCUAGAUUCAGGGCUUAACCUGGCCAGAGAUGGGAAAGCUUUGGACUUCCAGACCCUAGUGGACUACAACUCCCAUCAUCCCAGAUCACUGGCCAUAAUGCCUGGGGCUGAAGGGCGUUGGAGUCCAACAACAUCUGGAGGGCCAAAGGUUUUCUGUACCUGAGCUAGACCAGCCAGGUCCUUUAAGAUUCCAUCCAUGAUUUAUUUCCCCUCGCCUGGCAUUACAAAUGAUGGAUUUUCUUUUACUCAUAGUGAAAGUGCUGGUAUUAAUUUAUGUUUCUCCUCACAGUAGCAAAUAGAAUUAUCACUAUUAAUUGAUAAACUGUGGCUUCCUGGUGUGUAUGUGUGUAUGUGUGUGUGUGUGUGUGUGUGUGUGUGUGUGUGUUUUCCUCUCCUUCUUUGGAAGCAAAUACUUCAGGAACAAGCACUGAAGAUCCCAUCAUUGGUGUGUGGUGGUUCCUCACACCUGUAACACAUAUUUUGCAGCUUUCUUACUUGCUACCUUUCCGCAAAUCUGCCGAUGUGUCUUCCCACCUCUUCCUUUGGGGGAAAAAGUUCCAUCUCACCAUCUGGCAGCCCAGCAUCACAUUUGAAUGAGGUGUUCCACCUAGCUACUUCAGAUCUCUUGUGCUUAUUUCUAUAGGAUAUCAAGUUGUAGACAUUGGUUCCAAUAUGACUACCGUCAUGGUCUCUAGAGCAGUGUGCAAAUGGACUCUGGAAAAUUCUCCAUCAUAUUUGUGGGGAGAGAACUUGGGGAAGGAGAGGGGAGACGGACCAUAUCACCAAGUUUAUCCAGGAGGAGGAAGAGAACCUCCCCAUCCCUGGCAUCCCCAGGCAGAGACCCAUCUGAAAUCCUGGAGAGCCUCUGGCAGUCAGUGUAGGCAAUAUAAACCUGGAUGGAUGAAGGAUCUGAGUCAAAAUAAGAAUAGCUCUGUUGGGUUAAGCCAAAGCUCUGCCUACUCCAGCUUCCUGUUCUCAUAAUGACUAAUUAAAUGCCUAUGGGCAGCCCACAAGUUGGAACUGAGCACUAAAGCAAUCUCCCCACCUGCAGUUUCCAGCAAUUUGUAUUCAAAGACAUACUGCCUUCAACAGAGAAGGUAGAACACAGCAGUCAUUGAUAGUAUAAGGCAGUUUCCUCUGCUCCUGUUUUUCCGUUGGGAGCUGGGCCCACCAUUAUCAGUAGCCAUGGAAGAGCUCCCUUCUUUUUUCUUCAGGUCUUUGUGUUUUUUUGCUUUCCCCCUGAUCUUUUUGUUCUCUUCAUGUGACAAUUGUUUUUGUGUGCAGUCCCAGGAGGGAUUCACCUUGUGAUCUUUCUCUCUGAAGAAAAUUCUCACCUGCCUCACAAAUUGGCAUCUCUGUAACAGAAGGUGUAGAGGGCAUUCAAGGUGCAAGACAGGCACUUGAUUGCCUCUCUGUUACAAGAACAGAAGAAACUCAGGAAAAUCCCAGGUCCACCCAGAUACAACCAAGUCCAGAAUCUCCCUGUGACGUUAUCUGAACAAUCUCCAUGCUAACGGUCAACAGUGAAAAGCAGCUGCCUGUUAUCCUCCCAUCUCAAAGCACAAUAAAGCAAUUAUUUUUCUUUCUUUUACAUAUAUAUAAUUUUUAUUUAUUUUCCAUUUGAUAUUAUACAUUCACAUCAUCAUUAUCCACUUUACCACUUUGGCUCUUUAGAGCCUAUCGACUUCUUUCCCUCCCGCCUCAUGGCUUUCAAAAUUAACCUUUAUAUCAUUGCAUUUUGUACGCUUUCCAAUUCUAAUUACGCUCAUUGCAAAAUAACUCAAAAAUUAAAUGAAAAUAGAAAGAUAGAAAAAUUCUCAUUACAAGUCUUCCGACAACCCUGCUAGUGAUGUUAUUUGCUUUGAAUAAUCUUUCAGGUAUCGUAUAGAUUUACUCCAGUUCUUUUGGAAUAUUUGAUCAUGCUGGUUUCGGAUUUUUCCUGUCAGCUUUGCCAGUUAUGCAAAGUCAUCUUCACCUGCCACUCUUUCGCACAACAAAGCGGUUCUUAAUUGAGACUAAAGGAGAUAAUUUAUAACAGUCAAGGCCUAGCAGCAAGCACUGGAUAUUCUUGCAGAGACAGUGCUCUUGUGCUCAGAUCCUACUUGAAGGUUUCCCAUGGAAACUUGGUUAGCUACUGUGAGAACAGGAUGUUGGACUAGAUGGGCCAUUGGCUGGAUUCAGCAUGACUUUCUAAUGUUCUUAUGAAGAGACAUCAAGAUUCCAAGGUAUAUGAGCAAGGCAAGAGAAACAGAAUUGAACGGAAGCAAGGAAGAUGUCCCAACAGCAGUGUGGUGUAGUGGUUAAGAGCGAUAGACUCAUAAUCUGGGGAACCUGGUUCACGUCUCCGCUCCUCCACAUGCAGCUGCUGGGUGACUUUGGGCUAGUCACACUUCUGUGAAGUCUCUCAGCCCCACUCACCUCACAGUUUGUUGUGGGGGAGGAAGGGAAAGGAGAAUGUUAGCCGCUUUGAGACUCCUUUGGGUAGUGAUAAAGCGGGAUAUCAAAUCCAAACUCUUCUCUUCUUCUUCUUUUAAAGAUGAGGUGGGACCACCACACGUUCACACAUGCACUCCAUCUGGGCAGCACCUAGUUCUCAGUAACAAGACAGUGUCCUGUCCCCUGACUCCAUCUCCUGCUCCUGCUUUGCCCUUCUCACUGGCUACUUGAAGUCCCCAAUGAGGCCCAUGGGAGGGGCAAUGAGGGGUUGGAAAAGGCAAAUCUGUUGCGUGGCAAUUCCCCCCCCCCCCACAGUUCGAAUAAAUAAAGACACCGGACACAAGAAUUUAGGUUAAUGGGCGAAAAUGGCCACAACUUUAUUGAUUACAGGUAAGAGCGGUAUUGGCUUUAGGCAUUGGCCCUAUCAGACUAACUGGUAUAAAACCGGGAAGGGUUAAGCACCAACAGGGGGAGCCCCCGAGAUGCACAUCCCUAGGCGCUCCCCGAGGGGUUACCGCUCGGGAGCGCGCUUUAGGCCCUAGCCUCCGUAGGUUUCGGACAAGGCGACGCCCCCCGGAGUCCUUUAUCGGACUACCCUUCAACUUUGGGGGAGGUGAUGGCGUUCCUCCCCCCCGACUCAUUUGCAUGAUAAUACCCCUGCCAAUGCCUAACCGCCAAACCAAGGUGUUGUGACGUUUUGCUACGAGGUAGGCGAAAAAACCAAGUGGCUUCAAAAUACAGCCAAUUAGCCAAAUGGAAAAACUCCUACCAGGACCCUUGCGGCGACCAGCCGAAGCCCAUAGCAAAAUCCAAAUGCAAACCUAGAGGGUGGGUGGGUGGGAAACUGCAGCUGGCUGAAGGAAAAGAAAGGGCCGAGCACGGGCUGCCCCAACCUUAAAUGACCUGACCUAACCCCGCCCCUGUCGCCAGCCGAUUGGCUGGCGUCCUAAGAGAUAAUCCCUGGGAUUCCCAAGUCCCGCGGGGCUGAGCUAGCCCCGUGAGGUUGUAGAUGGGGCGUGAGCCCGCAACCCCCCCUUCCUUAUGUCGGGAGUGGCUUUCUUCCCCUCUUCAAUGUCUCAAAUCACAAUGGGAGGACCUCCAUUGCUGGGUGCCAGCCUUCAAGCACAUCACCCUACAACCUAAGAACAUAAGAAGAGUCUGCUGGAUCAGGCCAAUGGCCCAUAUAGGCCAGCAUCCUGUUUUCUUUUUUUUUUUUUUAAUGAUAUUUAUUAAAAGUUUAAAAGUUACAGAAAAAAGAAGAAAAAAAAUAUAUAACAAUAAAAAAGAAAAAGAGCAAUAACAAAACUUAUAAAACAUAUAGAAACCAUACAUCAAUACAGCAAAAAAGACAGACAAAAAAGAAAACUAAAACACACAUCCAGUAUUCCAUGUCUUUACCUUUCCUUUACUUGUUUCAUCGACCUCCUCACACCUCCCUUUAUUUGUAUUCUAAUUCAAUUCACUAUUUCAGCAAGUUCUUCCCAUCUUUCUCAAUUUUUAUUCUAUAGUUUAUCUUAACGGUCUAACCUUAAAUUUUUUCAAUUUAACCCAUUAUCAAUCAAAUUUUACUUAAUUCUUUGUUAUAUUUCUACUAAAACCAUGUAACUUCAUUCCCGCAUCUGCCAGCAUCCUGUUUUCACAGUGGCCAACCAGGUGCCUGUGGGAAACUCACAAGCAGGAUUCAGGCACCAGAUCAUUCUCCCUUCCAAUGGUUCCCAGCAACUGGUAUUCAGAAGCAUUACUGCCUUCGGCUGUGUUGGAGAAUAGCUAUCAUGGCUAGGAACUAUCAAUUCUUCUCAUCUGCAUGAAUUUGUCUUUUUUUUUUUUUAAGCCAUCUAUGUUGGUGGCCAUCACUGCCUGCUGUGGGAAUGAGUUCCAUAGUUUAACUAUACACUGUGUAAAUAAUGACUUUCUUUUAUCUGCCCUGAACCCUCCCUACUUUUUCUUCCUCCAGCUCCUCUUCUAUCUGGGGCUGCAAAACCAUGCCAGAUCCUGACAUGUCUGAGGGGCCCAUGAGAGAGCACAGCUAAUCAUCUUUCCGGCUCAUUGAUAACCAAUAGAUGAUCUGAUCCUAGAAGGUCUUUUACACCUUGAGCUGUUACGAAGAUGUGCUGUUGUUAAAUGAGAAAUAAAUCCAUUGAGCUCAU